rnacentral:lncRNA from 1 species
ACAUUUUAUAUAAGCGUUUAUUUACAACUUGUUUAACAACUGUACACUCUGUCACCUUGGAAGCAUUAGUGGAUUUGAUUGGGAAAAAAUAUUCAAACCUUUUGAUUCCAAUGAACAUUACUGACAUUUUUUUUUCUAUAUACAGAUAUGUAUAUUGAUGCUGCUACCAUGACAGUCUGGUAGUUACACAAAUCAUGGAUGAACUGAAAUGGGAAAGUAAUGUUUUGACACUCCUCUAGGAAUCAAUUCGUUUACAGAAAAUAUAUCACUGGCAACUUCACAAACAGUUAUUUUGAUAAUUGGUCAACACUUAAUUCGGGACUGUCAAACAAGCUGCUAUUAAGAAAGUAAAAGAGUUUUCUAUGCAGCACAAACAAAGUUAGUAUAUCAGAGACAUGCUGGAGAUCACCUCUGAGUUGUGAGCUCGCGAUCACUUUGCGACAGAGAUGCUCGGCUCAUCUAACCCAAGUGGCCAGCUCACUCGCUGAAAGCUGCUGACUGUACCCAGCACCUCUGUUGCUUGAGUGAACUCAGACAACUUCAGUCAAGCUAAACACACUUACAUACAAAUGUCUUCAGGCUCAAGAACAACUGAUAUCUAGUCUCUAAUUUGCACAGAGCACUUGGAGAAAUGAGGUACUGCUCGGCUUCAUCGGGAUGCUCGUGCAGGCGGGUGCAUGAAAACAGCCAUCCCCUCCCGCCUUGCACGGCGCCGACCCGGGGCCUGCACCCAGCCUGGCCUGGGGCUGGUGCGGCCCUGGACCAAGCAGCACUUGGAAAUGAGAAACAAUCUGUGCCAUAACACCCAACAGAGAGGAGUUCUUCCACUUGCCCCAACACGUAACAAAGGGGUCAGUGGCGAGGACCUGGAAAGACAAAUCCUUCAGCGCUUUGCUGGACUCAGUCUGAUGAAAGUGCUGCUGCCUCUCUGCUGCAGGAACAGCCUCCUAGUCAGCACCAAACCCAAGAUCCUGCCCGCAGGUCAUAGAAUCAUAGAAUCAUAGAAUCGUAAGGGUUGGAAAGGACCUUAAGAUCAUCUAGUUCCAACCCCCCUGCCAUGGGCAGGGACACCUUGCCCUAAACCAUGUGGCUCAAGGCUCUGUCCAACCUGGCCUUGAACACUGCCAGGGAUGAAGCAUCCACAACCUCCCUGGGCAACCCAUUCCAGUGCUUCACCACCCUCACUGUAAAGAACUUCUUCCUAAUAUCUAAUCUAAACUUCCUCUGUUUAAGUUUGAACCCAUUACCCCUUGUCCUACCACUACAGUCCCUAAGGGAGAGUCCCUCCCCAGCAUCCUUGUAGACCCCCUUCAGAUACUGGAAGGCUGCUAUGAGGUCACCACGCAGCCUUCUCUUCUCCAGGCUGAACAGCCCCAACUUCCUCAGCCUGUCUUCAUAUGGGAGGUGCUCCAGCCCUCUUAUCAUCCUCGUGGCCCUCCUCUGGACUCGCUCCAACAGCUUCAUGUCCUUUUUAUGUUGAGGACACCAGAACUGUACGCAGUACUCCAAGUGGGGUCUCACAAGAGCAGAGUAGAGGGGCAGGAUCACCUCCUUCGACCUGCUGGUCACGCUUCUUUUGAUGCAGCCCAGGAUACGGUUGGCUUUCUGGGCUGCAAGUGCACACUGCCGGCUCAUGUUAAGCUUUUCGUCAACCAACACCCCCAAGUCCUUUUCUGCAGGGCUGCUCUGAAUCUCUUCUCUGCCCAGCCUGUAGCAGUGCCUGGGGUUGCCCCGACCCAGGUGUAGGACCUUGCACUUGGCUUGGUUAAACUUCAUAAGGUUGGCAUCGGCCCACCUCACAAGCGUGUCAAGGUCCCUCUGGAUGGCAUCCCUUCCCUCCAGUGUAUCAACCGAACCACACAGCUUGGUGUCAUCGGCAAACUUGCUGAGGGCGCACUCAAUCCCACUGUCCACAUCAGACUUCACUGUCCCAGGUCCUGGCGGACUGGGAGACAUAUCCCCCUCCGGAAGUCUUUCCGGACCACUGUCAGCCACAGCACCUGGCAGCCACUGGCUCCCCUGUCUGGUGUGGGAUCCAGAAGAGAACAUGCCACACACUUCUCACUGGGAUCUUAAUGCUUAUUCCCCACCUCUCUUGCAUGGUGUGCCUGAAGCCCAUUCCCCCCUGCCCUUCCCUGUGCCGGGUAGCACAGUCCCUGCCGUAGGGGACAUGACCUGUCUUUCCCCAAGUCAUUCUGCACAAUGCUGGUGGCGCAGAGGGCAUCAGGACCCCGAGGGUUGAACACACAGCUCAGCCCAGGAUC